GGGACACGUGGUAUCCUGUCUGAAUAUGGGGGGACCAUCCUCCAAGGCUAAAUACUCCUGACUGACCGAUAGUGAACCAGUACCGUGAGGGAAAGGCGAAAAGAACCCCGGCGAGGGGAGUGAAAAAGAACCUGAAACCGUGUACGUACAAGCAGUGGGAGCCUCUUUAUGGGGUGACUGCGUACCUUUUGUAUAAUGGGUCAGCGACUUAUAUUCUGUAGCAAGGUUAACCGAAUAGGGGAGCCGAAGGGAAACCGAGUCUUAACUGGGCGUUAAGUUGCAGGGUAUAGACCCGAAACCCGGUGAUCUAGCCAUGGGCAGGUUGAAGGUUGGGUAACACUAACUGGAGGACCGAACCGACUAAUGUUGAAAAAUUAGCGGAUGACUUGUGGCUGGGGGUGAAAGGCCAAUCAAACCGGGAGAUAGCUGGUUCUCCCCGAAAGCUAUUUAGGUAGCGCCUCGUGAAUUCAUCUCCGGGGGUAGAGCACUGUUUCGGCAAGGGGGUCAUCCCGACUUACCAACCCGAUGCAAACUGCGAAUACCGGAGAAUGUUAUCACGGGAGACACACGGCGGGUGCUAACGUCCGUCGUGAAGAGGGAAACAACCCAGACCGCCAGCUAAGGUCCCAAAGUCAUGGUUAAGUGGGAAACGAUGUGGGAAGGCCCAGACAGCCAGGAUGUUGGCUUAGAAGCAGCCAUCAUUUAAAGAAAGCGUAAUAGCUCACUGGUCGAGUCGGCCUGCGCGGAAGAUGUAACGGGGCUAAACCAUGCACCGAAGCUGCGGCAGCGACACUAAGUGUUGUUGGGUAGGGGAGCGUUCUGUAAGCCUGUGAAGGUGUACUGUGAGGUAUGCUGGAGGUAUCAGAAGUGCGAAUGCUGACAUAAGUAACGAUAAAGCGGGUGAAAAGCCCGCUCGCCGGAAGACCAAGGGUUCCUGUCCAACGUUAAUCGGGGCAGGGUGAGUCGACCCCUAAGGCGAGGCCGAAAGGCGUAGUCGAUGGGAAACAGGUUAAUAUUCCUGUACUUGGUGUUACUGCGAAGGGGGGACGGAGAAGGCUAUGUUGGCCGGGCGACGGUUGUCCCGGUUUAAGCGUGUAGGCUGGUUUUCCAGGCAAAUCCGGAAAAUCAAGGCUGAGGCGUGAUGACGAGGCACUACGGUGCUGAAGCAACAAAUGCCCUGCUUCCAGGAAAAGCCUCUAAGCAUCAGGUAACAUCAAAUCGUACCCCAAACCGACACAGGUGGUCAGGUAGAGAAUACCAAGGCGCUUGAGAGAACUCGGGUGAAGGAACUAGGCAAAAUGGUGCCGUAACUUCGGGAGAAGGCACGCUGAUAUGUAGGUGAAGCGACUUGCUCGUGGAGCUGAAAUCAGUCGAAGAUACCAGCUGGCUGCAACUGUUUAUUAAAAACACAGCACUGUGCAAACACGAAAGUGGACGUAUACGGUGUGACGCCUGCCCGGUGCCGGAAGGUUAAUUGAUGGGGUUAGCGCAAGCGAAGCUCUUGAUCGAAGCCCCGGUAAACGGCGGCCGUAACUAUAACGGUCCUAAGGUAGCGAAAUUCCUUGUCGGGUAAGUUCCGACCUGCACGAAUGGCGUAAUGAUGGCCAGGCUGUCUCCACCCGAGACUCAGUGAAAUUGAACUCGCUGUGAAGAUGCAGUGUACCCGCGGCAAGACGGAAAGACCCCGUGAACCUUUACUAUAGCUUGACACUGAACAUUGAGCCUUGAUGUGUAGGAUAGGUGGGAGGCUUUGAAGUGUGGACGCCAGUCUGCAUGGAGCCGACCUUGAAAUACCACCCUUUAAUGUUUGAUGUUCUAACGUUGGCCCCUGAUCGGGGUUGCGGACAGUGUCUGGUGGGUAGUUUGACUGGGGCGGUCUCCUCCUAAAGAGUAACGGAGGAGCACGAAGGUUGGCUAAUCCUGGUCGGACAUCAGGAGGUUAGUGCAAUGGCAUAAGCCAGCUUGACUGCGAGCGUGACGGCGCGAGCAGGUGCGAAAGCAGGUCAUAGUGAUCCGGUGGUUCUGAAUGGAAGGGCCAUCGCUCAACGGAUAAAAGGUACUCCGGGGAUAACAGGCUGAUACCGCCCAAGAGUUCAUAUCGACGGCGGUGUUUGGCACCUCGAUGUCGGCUCAUCACAUCCUGGGGCUGAAGUAGGUCCCAAGGGUAUGGCUGUUCGCCAUUUAAAGUGGUACGCGAGCUGGGUUUAGAACGUCGUGAGACAGUUCGGUCCCUAUCUGCCGUGGGCGCUGGAGAACUGAGGGGGGCUGCUCCUAGUACGAGAGGACCGGAGUGGACGCAUCACUGGUGUUCGGGUUGUCAUGCCAAUGGCACUGCCCGGUAGCUAAAUGCGGAAGAGAUAAGUGCUGAAAGCAUCUAAGCACGAAACUUGCCCCGAGAUGAGUUCUCCCUGACUCCUUGAGAGUCCUGAAGGAACGUUGAAGACGACGACGUUGAUAGGCCGGGUGUGUAAGCGCAGCGAUGCGUUGAGCUAACCGGUACUAAUGAACCGUGAGGCUUAACCUUACAACGCCGAAG
rnacentral:rRNA from 1 species